rnacentral:rRNA from 1 species
UACGUAGGGGGCAAGCGUUGUCCGGAAUCAUUGGGCGUAAAGCGCGUGUAGGCGGUCCGGUAAGUCCGCUGUGAAAGUCGAGGGCUCAACCCUCGAAUGCCGGUGGAUACUGUCGGGCUAGAGUGCGGAAGAGGCGAGUGGAAUUCCUGGUGUAGCGGUGAAAUGCGCAGAUAUCAGGAAGAACACCCGUGGCUAAGGCGGCUCUCUAGUACGGUACUGACGCUGAGACGCGAAAGCGUGGGGAGCGAACAGG